CCUACGGGGGGCAGCAGUGGGGAAUAUUGCGCAAUGGGCGAAAGCCUGACGCAGCGACGCCGCGUGAGGGAUGAAGGUCUUCGGAUCGUAAACCUCUGUCAGCAGGGAAGAACGGUCACUGUGCUAAUCAGCAGUGAAUUGACGGUACCUGCAAGGGAAGCACCGGCUAACUCCGUGCCAGCAGCCGCGGUAAUACGUAGGGGGCAAGCGUUAUCCGGAUUUACUGGGUGUAAAGGGAGCGUAGACGGUUAUGUAAGUCUGGAGUGAAAGCCCGGGGCCCAACCCCGGGACUGCUUUGGAAACUGUGUAGCUGGAGUACAGGAGGGGCAGGCGGAAUUCCUGGUGUAGCGGUGAAAUGCGUAGAUAUCAGGAGGAACACCGGCGGCGAAGGCGGCCUGCUGGACUGAAACUGACGUUGAGGCUCGAAAGCGUGGGGAGCAAACAGGAUUAGAUACCCUAGUAGUC
rnacentral:rRNA from 1 species